GAUGCCAGCAGCCAAUAGCUGGGGAGUAGAGACAUAGGCGGGGUUUAGGUUGCCUGAGCUGGGGGGCCGGAAGAGGAAGGAGAAAGAAAGAAACCGACACGGGCUAGAGGCCAUGAAAAUGUGGCCCAGAGGGCUGUCCCAUUGGAGUUGAGAGCAGCCCAGAUGAAAGACAGUGAAUAAUUCUUAAAAUGGUAAGCCACGCAAAGAUAAAGUUUCACUCUAGAAGAAAGUUUCCGCCUUAGCAAUGACUGGACAUCAUGGCUAGUUUCGAUCGAAGUCCCAAGCAAGAAUCAACUGACAUACGGACUCGGAACCCACCAAGCUUUGAUACUGCGUUAGCGUUCCUCCAAGGCUCCACCCAACAGUUACAACAGCCAGGUACUUCAGAAGGAAGGAGAUACCUCAUCAGGGGCCAGCUGAGGCACCCCUCCCACCCCACCAUAGUGUGCUCUGUAAGACAUAUCCUUGGUUUUAUAAAACACAUCAGUAAGGCUCCCCACCCUAUCACACCCAGAGACAGCUUGACCCCCAGGAGUUCUGACCCACUCAACCUCUCAGGAAAUGUAGUGUUGUGGUUUGCCCUGAAGCUAU
rnacentral:sRNA from 1 species